UGGAGUGGGGGGGCUGCGGCGGGCCCGAGGGGUGCGGCGGGGGGGGCUGGUGGCCGGGGCGAGCGGUGGUGGCCGGACUGGAACCGUUUAUUUUUCCUGUGAGUUUUCCCAGAACUCAGAGAACUCAGAGCGCAGUGGGAUUUCCUGCCGAGGCCGAGGCCCGGCCAAGCCCCAGCCCUGGCUGCCGGCUGCGUUGUCGCUUCCAUUCGUGAGGUGGCUGGACCAGAAGAUCGUUCUGCAGGAUGGUGAGAGUGCUGCCCUUGCAGUUUGGUUAUACCUGUGUGGUCUUCUUAGGUUAUAGAAAGUAGUUUUGCCUAAUCAGAUGGUAAACAUGAAUAAAAUCCAGUUCUCAAA